rnacentral:rRNA from 1 species
AAUGGGCGAAAGCCUGACGCAGCAACGCCGCGUGAGGGACGAAGGCCUUCGGGUCGUAAACCUCUUUUCUGGGGAAAGAGCAAGGACGGUACCUCAGGAAUAAGUCUCGGCUAACUACGUGCCAGCAGCCGCGGUAAAACGUAGGAGGCGAGCGUUAUCCGGAUUUACUGGGCGUAAAGCGCGCGCAGGCGGUUUCGUGAGUCGGACAUGAAAGCUCCUGGCUUAACUGGGAGAGGCUGUUCGAUACUGCGGGACUUGAGGUUGGGAGAGGGGUGUGGAAUUCCCGGUGUAGUGGUGGAAUGCGUAGAUAUCGGGAGGAACACCUGUGGCGAAAGCGGCACCCUGGCCCACACCUGACGCUGAGGUGCGAAAGCGUGGGGAGCAAA